rnacentral:rRNA from 1 species
UACGUAGGGUGCAAGCGUUAAUCGGAAUUACUGGGCGUAAAGCGUGCGCAGGCGGUUUUGUAAGUCUGACGUGAAAUCCCCGGGCUCAACCUGGGAAUUGCGUUGGAGACUGCAAGGCUAGAAUCUGGCAGAGGGGGGUAGAAUUCCACGUGUAGCAGUGAAAUGCGUAGAGAUGUGGAGGAACACCCGAUGGCGAAGGCAGCCCCCUGGGUCAAGAUUGACGCUCAUGCACGAA